rnacentral:rRNA from 1 species
UACGUAGGGUGCGAGCGUUGUCCGGAAUUAUUGGGCGUAAAGAGCUCGUAGGCGGCUUGUUACGUCGGAUGUGAAAGCCCGGGGCUUAACUCCGGGUCUGCAUUCGAUACGGGCGGGCUAGAGUUCGGUAGGGGAGAUCGGAAUUCCUGGUGUAGCGGUGAAAUGCGCAGAUAUCAGGAGGAACACCGGUGGCGAAGGCGGAUCUCUGGGCCGAUACUGACGCUGAGGAGCGAAAGCGUGGGGAGCGAACAGG